rnacentral:rRNA from 1 species
GAAUUCGCCCUUCCUACGGGGAGGCAGCAGUAAGGAAUAUUGGGCAAUGGGCGCGAGCCUGACCCAGCCAUGCCGCGUGCAGGAAGACGGCCCUAUGGGUUGUAAACUGCUUUUAUACGGGAAUAACUGUGGGUAUGUAUACUCACUUGCAAGUACUGUAUGAAUAAGCAUCGGCUAACUCCGUGCCAGCAGCCGCGGUAAUA